rnacentral:rRNA from 1 species
AAAUUGAAGAGUUUGAUCAUGGCUCAGAUUGAACGCUGGCGGCAGGCCUAACACAUGCAAGUCGAACGGUAACAGGAAACAGCUUGCUGUUUCGCUGACGAGUGGCGGACGGGUGAGUAAUGUCUGGGAAACUGCCUGAUGGAGGGGGAUAACUACUGGAAACGGUAGCUAAUACCGCAUAAUGUCGCAAGACUAAAGAGGGGGACCUUCGGGCCUCUUGCCAUCGGAUGUGCCCAGAUGGGAUUAGCUAGUAGGUGGGGUAACGGCUCACCUAGGCGACGAUCCCUAGCUGGUCUGAGAGGAUGACCAGCCACACUGGAACUGAGACACGGUCCAGACUCCUACGGGAGGCAGCAGUGGGGAAUAUUGCACAAUGGGCGCAAGCCUGAUGCAGCCAUGCCGCGUGUAUGAAGAAGGCCUUCGGGUUGUAAAGUACUUUCAGCGGGGAGGAAGGGAGUAAAGUUAAUACCUUUACUCAUUGACGUUACCC